rnacentral:rRNA from 1 species
UACGAAGGGGGGCUAGCGUUGCUCGGAAUCACUGGGCGUAAAGGGUGCGUAGGCGGGUCUUUAAGUCAGGGGUGAAAUCCUGGAGCUCAACUCCAGAACUGCCUUUGAUACUGAGGGGCUUGAGUCCGGGAGAGGUGAGUGGAACUGCGAGUGUAGAGGUGAAAUUCGUAGAUAUUCGCAAGAACACCAGUGGCGAAGGCGGCUCACUGGCCCGGUACUGACGCUGAGGUGCGAAAGCGUGGGGAGCGAACAGG